UACAGAGGGGGCAAGCGUUAUUCGGAAUUAUUGGGCGUAAAGGGCGCGUAGGCGGCUUUGCAAGUGACGGGUGAAAUCCCUCGGCUUAACCGGGGAACUGCCUGUCAAACUGCAUGGCUUGAGACCGGGAGAGGUGAGUGGAAUUCCCAGUGUAGCGGUGAAAUGCGUAGAUAUUGGGAGGAACACCAGUGGCGAAGGCAGCCCCCUGGGCUAGCACUGACGCUCAGGCACGAAAGCGUGGGGAGCAAACAGG
rnacentral:rRNA from 1 species